rnacentral:tRNA from 1 species
GGGGUUGUGGCUCAGUGGAUAGAGUGCAUGCCUUGCAUGUGUGAGAUACUGGGUUUGAUUCUCAGCACCA